rnacentral:rRNA from 1 species
AUUGAACGCUGGCGGCAGGCCUAACACAUGCAAGUCGAGCGAGCGGCGGACGGGUGAGAAAUGUCUGGGAAACUGCCCGAUGGAGAGGGAUAUCUACUGGAAACGGUAGCUAAUACCGCAUACCCUCAGAUGUGCUCAGAUGGGAUUAGCUGGUAGGGGGGGUAACGGCUCACCAAGGCGACGAUCACUAGCUGGUCUGAGAGGAUGACCAGACACACUGGAACUGAGACACGGUCCAGACUCCUACGGGAGGCAGCAGUGGGGAAUAUUGCACAAUGGGCGCAAGCCUGAUGCAGCCAUGCCGCGUGUAUGAAGAAGGCCUUCGGGUUGUAAAGCACUUUCAGCGGGGAGGCGUUACCCGCAGAAGAAGCACCGGCUAACUCCGUGCCAGCAGCCGCGGUAAUAC